rnacentral:rRNA from 1 species
GAUGAACGCUGGCGGCGUGCCUAAUACAUGCAAGUCGAGCGAAUGAUGAGGAGCUUGCUCCUCUGAUUUAGCGGCGGACGGGUGAGUAACACGUGGGUAACCUGCCUGUAAGAUGGGGAUAACUCCGGGAAACCGGGGCUAAUACCGAAUAAUAAAAGAGGAAGCAUUUCUUCUUUUUGAAAGUUGGUUUCGGCUAACACUUACAGAUGGGCCCGCGGCGCAUUAGCUAGUUGGUGAGGUAACGGCUCACCAAGGCGACGAUGCGUAGCCGACCGGAGAGGGUGAUCGGCCACACGGGGACUGAGACACGGCCCAGACUCCUACGGGAGGCAGCAGUAGGGAAUCUUCGGCAAUGGGCGAAAGCCUGACCGAGCAACGCCGCGUGAGCGAGGAAGGCCUUCGGGUCGUAAAGCUCUGAUGUCAGGGUAGAACAAGUACGAGAGUAACUGCUCGUACCUUGACGGUACCUGACCAGAAAGCCACGGCUAACUACGUGCCAGCAGCCGCGGUAA